rnacentral:tRNA from 1 species
GCGGAAGUCGUCUAGUGGCCAAGACGCGACGUUGCCAACGUCGAGAGCGCGGGUUCGAGUCCCGCCUUCCGCUCCA